UACGGAGGGUGCAAGCGUUAAUCGGAAUUACUGGGCGUAAAGCGUGCGCAGGCGGUUUGUUAAGUCAGAUGUGAAAUCCCCGGGCUUAACCUGGGAACUGCGUUUGAAACUACAAGGCUAGAGUGUGACAGAGGGGGGUGGAAUUCCACGUGUAGCAGUGAAAUGCGUAGAGAUGUGGAGGAACACCGAUGGCGAAGGCAGCCCCCUGGGUUAACACUGACGCUCAGGCACGAAAGCGUGGGGAGCAAACAGG
rnacentral:rRNA from 1 species